rnacentral:rRNA from 1 species
UGCAAGUCGAACGAGUUCUGAUUAUUGAAAGGUGCUUGCAUCUUGAUUUAAUUUUGAACGAGUGGCGGACGGGUGAGUAACACGUGGGUAACCUGCCCUUAAGUGGGGGAUAACAUUUGGAAACAGAUGCUAAUACCGCAUAAAUCCAAGAACCGCAUGGUUCUUGGCUGAAAGAUGGCGUAAGCUAUCGCUUUUGGAUGGACCCGCGGCGUAUUAGCUAGUUGGUGAGGUAACGGCUCACCAAGGCAAUGAUACGUAGCCGAACUGAGAGGUUGAUCGGCCACAUUGGGACUGAGACACGGCCCAAACUCCUACGGGAGGCAGCAGUAGGGAAUCUUCCACAAUGGACGCAAGUCUGAUGGAGCAACGCCGCGUGAGUGAAGAAGGCUUUCGGGUCGUAAAACUCUGUUGUUGGAGAAGAAUGGUCGGCAGAGUAACUGUUGUCGGCGUGACGGUAUCCAACCAGAAAGCCACGGCUAACUACGUGCCAGCAGCCGCGGUAAUACGUAGGUGGCAAGCGUUAUCCGGAUUUAUUGGGCGUAAAGCGAGCGCAGGCGGUUUUUUAAGUCUGAUGUGAAAGCCCUCGGCUUAACCGAGGAAGUGCAUCGGAAACUGGGAAACUUGAGUGCAGAAGAGGACAGUGGAACUCCAUGUGUAGCGGUGAAAUGCGUAGAUAUAUGGAAGAACACCAGUGGCGAAGGCGGCUGUCUGGUCUGUAACUGACGCUGAGGCUCGAAAGCAUGGGUAGCGAACAGGAUUAGAUACCCUGGUAGUCCAUGCCGUAAACGAUGAAUGCUAGGUGUUGGAGGGUUUCCGCCCUUCAGUGCCGCAGCUAACGCAUUAAGCAUUCCGCCUGGGGAGUACGACCGCAAGGUUGAAACUCAAAGGAAUUGACGGGGGCCCGCACAAGCGGUGGAGCAUGUGGUUUAAUUCGAAGCAACGCGAAGAACCUUACCAGGUCUUGACAUCUUUUGAUCACCUGAGAGAUCAGGUUUCCCCUUCGGGGGCAAAAUGACAGGUGGUGCAUGGUUGUCGUCAGCUCGUGUCGUGAGAUGUUGGGUUAAGUCCCGCAACGAGCGCAACCCUUAUGACUAGUUGCCAGCAUUUAGUUGGGCACUCUAGUAAGACUGCCGGUGACAAACCGGAGGAAGGUGGGGAUGACGUCAAAUCAUCAUGCCCCUUAUGACCUGGGCUACACACGUGCUACAAUGGAUGGUACAACGAGUUGCGAGACCGCGAGGUCAAGCUAAUCUCUUAAAGCCAUUCUCAGUUCGGACUGUAGGCUGCAACUCGCCUACACGAAGUCGGAAUCGCUAGUAAUCGCGGAUCAGCACGCCGCGGUGAAUACGUUCCCGGGCCUUGUACACACCGCCCGUCACACCAUGAGAGUUUGUAACACCCGAAGCCGGUGGCGUAACCCUUUUAGGGAGCGAGCCGU